rnacentral:rRNA from 1 species
UACGGGGGGAGCAAGCGUUGUUCGGAUUUACUGGGCGUAAAGGGCGCGUAGGCGGUCAGCACAAGUCAGUUGUGAAAUCUCCGAGCUUAACUCGGAAAGGUCAACUGAUACUGUGCGACUAGAGUGCAGAAGGGGCAACUGGAAUUCUUGGUGUAGCGGUGAAAUGCGCAGAUAUCAGGAGGAACACCGAUGGCGAAGGCAGGUCUCUGGGCCACUACUGACGCUGAGAAGCGAAAGCAUGGGGAGCGAACAGG